rnacentral:lncRNA from 7 species
GUUUUCUUCCAAGCCACUCUGUGAUUCUACAUCUAAGCUACGCGCUAUCUUGUAACACAAAUAUUCCUGAGCUCACAUAGACCUACGCAUUUCACAGCAGCUGUUGUCCCUGGCUACACCUACACCGUUGUUCCAUAGAGGAAAAUUUACUGGGUUCCACGUGAUCAAGAUUGACUGCUUCCUGAUGUGAGUUGGGUCACCUAGGAUGGAGUAUCUCCUGACGCUGCUCUGUGCUUCUGAUCUGAAGGUUCACCCUCUUUGUGUUCCUGAGGCACAGAGGUUACUGUCCUCCUUCCCUUGCCUGCACUGAAUUCCUUAGAGAGGGUUGAAGUCCCUGACGAAGCAAAACCUACUAAACAGUCUUUUCAGAAAAGUAUAUAAGUACAUGCUUAACAUCAGGCAUGCUUUAUAAAUCCUAUCAGCUUUGCUGAGUAUAAAUGGAUGUACAUAAAUGCUUAUGUGCUUUUCAGAAAUAGGCUUGAAAUGAAGACAGCACAUGGGAUUCUCUGAUGCUACCUACAGCUGUCCAGAUUAUGCACAUGCCAAUGUGAUACGUACAGGUGACAAAGCUCAACAUGCAAUCCCAUAGUGGCCUAAGUGGACUGACUACAGAGACUCCUUUGGAAAACUGCAAAAUAAAGCCUGAAGUCACU